AACAUACUCCCUUCAUCCGAAAUUAUUUGUCGAAGAAAUUAAUGUAUCUAGACAUAUUUUAGUUCUAGAUACAUUCAUUUUUAUCUAUUUAUGCGAGAAGUAAUUCCGGACGGAGGGAAUAUUCA
rfam:Triticum aestivum genome assembly, contig: Triticum_aestivum_CS42_TGACv1_scaffold_249461_3DL